AACGAACGCUGGCGGCAUGCCUAACACAUGCAAGUCGAACGAGACCUCCGGGUCUAGUGGCGCACGGGGGCGGAACGCGUGGGAACCUGCCCAUAGGUUCGGAAUAACUCCCCGAAAGGUGUGCUAAUACCGGAUAAGCUCUUCGCAGCAAAGAUUUCUCGCGUUUGGAUGGGCGUGGGUUGGUUUAGCUGGUUGGUAGGGUAAAAGCCGACCAAGGCGACGUUGCAUAGCUGGUCGGAGAGCAUGAUCCGCAACGCUGGGGCUACGACACGGCCCCGACUCGUACGGGACAGUGCAGUAGAUUAUAUUGUACGCUGGGCGAUGGCCUGGUCAAGCCGUGCCGCGUGAGUGGGGAUGGCCUUAGGGUUCUAAAUCUGUUUUUCCCGGGACGAUAGUGACGGUACCGGGUGAAUAAGCACCGGCUAACUCCGUG
rnacentral:rRNA from 1 species